AGCUUUGCACAGUGGCAGUAUCGUAGCCAAUGAGGUUUAUCUGAGGCAUGAUGAUUGCUAAUUAAACAUUCCAAUUCAAAUCAGAUUAAAAAUUGAGAAGCAAAGAGAAAGGGGACUGGGCUUGUAAGUAAACAUAAAAUAGUUUGAAAUUAUAGUUGACCCUUGAACAUACAUAUUUGGAAAUGUGUAGGUGCA
rnacentral:snRNA from 1 species